AUCUGGAAACCAAGGAAUUUGCGAGUCAGAAGAAACAGAAGAAUGCAAAAGAGGAACCGGUGAUGGACUGCCAUAGGAAUGAUAAUUGGCCUGAGGAUAAGAAUUGAGUCGUGCUUCUGAAGGAGCAUACCGACAGUGGCAGUGAUCAGCAGUGUGAUUUUUAAGGCCACAUAUCUGACAAGGCCCUUCAAGCCAAAAAGAACCAUCAUUAAAAUUGUAAUUUGGUUGCCGACGUUGAUUAUUUGAUGUGGUGGGUGGGCGAGAAGGAGUGGGUAGAAGUGGUGCAUUUGAAGAUGAUCAUACCACCAUAUUUGCUAUAGGUGGUUCUUAAGAACUCUUUAUGAGAAUUUCAUGAGUAACAAGUUGUCUAUACAACUCAUAG
rnacentral:misc_RNA from 1 species